GGGCCCGCACAAGCGGUGGAGCAUGUGGUUUAAUUCGACGCAACGCGCAGAACCUUACCAGCCCUUGACAUCCCGGUCGCGGACUCCAGAGAUGGAGUUCUUCAGUUCGGCUGGACCGGAGACAGGUGCUGCA
rnacentral:rRNA from 1 species